UUUGGAGAGGUUUUGAAGGGCCUAAAAGAGGGUAAUGCAUUAUUACUUUUGUGUUUGGCAUUGUUUAUUUCUUUUGUAAGAUUAGGAGACUAAUGGCUUUGUCUUCAUUUCCAAAUCUGAGACCCAUUGCAAGCAACAUAGGAUAAGGUGUUGCUCCUUGAGGUGGAAUCUGCCAGCGGCCAGAUAAAGAGAUGAAGAUGGAAUGAGUAGGC
rnacentral:lncRNA from 1 species